AGUGAACGCUGGCGGUAGGCCUAACACAUGCAAGUCGGACGGCAGCACAGGAGAGCUUGCUCUCUGGGUGGCGAGUGGCGGACGGGUGGGGAAUACAUCGGAAUCUACUUUUUCGUGGGGGAUAACGUAGGGAAACUUACGCUAAUACCGCAUACGACCUACGGGUGAAAGCAGGGACCUUCGGGCCUUGCGCGAUUGAAUGAGCCGAUGUCGGAUUAGCUAGUUGGCGGGGUAAAGGCCCACCAAGGCGACGAUCCGUAGCUGGUCUGAGAGGAUGAUCAGCCACACUGGAACUGAGACACGGUCCAGACUCCUACGGGAGGCAGCAGUGGGGAAUAUUGGACAAUGGGCGCAAGCCUGAUCCAGCCAUACCGCGUGGGUGAAGAAGGCCUUCGGGUUGUAAAGCCCUUUCGUUGGGAAAGAAAUCCAGCUGGCUAAUACCCGGUUGGGAUGACGGUACCCAAAGAAUAAGCACCGGCUAACUUCGUGCCAGCCGCCGCCGUAA
rnacentral:rRNA from 1 species